rnacentral:rRNA from 1 species
GACGAACGCUGGCGGCGUGCUUAACACAUGCAAGUCGAACGGUGAACGAGGGAGCUUGCUCCCUCCGGAUCAGUGGCGAACGGGUGAGUAACACGUGUGCAAUCUGCUUCGAAUUCUGGGAUAAUCGUUGGAAACGAGGUCUAAUACCGGAUACGAUGCUGGUGCGCAGCCUCUCCGGGUGGAAAGAACCGCGGUUCGGGAUGAGCUCGCGGCCUAUCAGCUUGUUGGUGAGGUAACGGCUCACCAAGGUGACGACGGGUAGCCGGCCUGAGAGGGUGACCGGCCACACUGGGACUGAGACACGGCCCAGACUCCUACGGGAGGCAGCAGUGGGGAAUAUUGCACAAUGGGCGGAAGCCUGAUGCAGCAACGCCGCGUGAGGGACGACGGCCUUCGGGUUGUAAACCUCUUUUAGCAGGGAAGAAGCGAAAGUGACGGUACCUGCAGAAAAAGCACCGGCUAACUACGUG